UGAACGCUGGCGGCAUGCCCUUACACAUUCAAGUCGAACGGUAACAGGUCUUCGGAUGCUGACGAGUGGCGAACGGGUGAGUAAUACAUCGGAACGUGCCCGAUCGUGGGGGAUAACGAAGCGAAAGCUUUGCUAUACCGCAUAAGAUCUACGGAUGAAAGCAGGUGACCGCAAGGCCUUGCGCGAACGGAGCGGCCGAUGGCAGAUUAGGUAGUUGGUGGGAUAAAAGCUUACCAAGCCGACGAUCUGUAGCUGGUCUGAGAGGACGACCAGCCACACCGGGACUGAGACACGGCCCAGACUCCUACGGGAGGCAGCAGUGGGGAAUUUUGGACAAUGGGCGAAAGCCUGAUCCAGCCAUGCCGCGUGCAGGAUGAAGGCCUUCGGGUUGUAAACUGCUUUUGUACGGAACGAAAAGACUCUGGUUCAAUACCUGGGGUCCACUGACGGUACCGUUAAGGAAUAAAACAACCGGCUAAACUACGUUGGCCAGGCAAGGCCGGCGGGUAAAUACG
rnacentral:rRNA from 1 species